rfam:Triticum aestivum genome assembly, contig: Triticum_aestivum_CS42_TGACv1_scaffold_623297_7DS
AUCAUACACCCUCCGUCUCAAAUUACUUGUCGCACGAAUGGAUAAAAAUGAAUUUAUCUAGAACUAAAUUACGUCUAGAUACAUCCAUUUCCGCGACAAGUAAUUCCAGACUGAGGGAGUAUUAA